CGUGUAGGCGGGCAAUCAAGUCAGAUGUAAAAGGCGACGGCUUAACCGUAGUAUGUCAUCUGAUACUGGUUGUCUUGAGUUCGAGAGAGGGUGGUGGAAUUCCCGGUGUAGCGGUGAAAUGCGUAGAUAUCGGGAAGAACACCAGAAGCGAAGGCGGCCACCUGGAUCGACACUGACGCUGAGACGCGAAAGCGUGGGUAGCAAACA
rnacentral:rRNA from 1 species